UUUGUAUCUAGGCAAGAGUUCUCCUAAAAUCAAGGGUUAGGAUUUAACUUGGGAGAAGCACAAGGAUUGUGCUAAUGUUCAAAGGUAGAGAUUAGGUCUCUUGAAAUAAGAAAAAAAUCAAUGGCUAGGAUGUGAUCUUGAGAAUUGGCAUGGAUUAAGAAGAAAACUCUAUAAAUGGGAAGUGAGAAAUUAGUUCCAAGCUUUUUCCCAUUUGUGAAGUAGAGAAGCAAGAAGGCAAGUAAGAAGGCAAGGAAGUCUAGAGAAGGAAGAGAAAGUCUAGCAAAAGGGUGAGUAUUAGCUUGUGGAGGUGUUGAAGCUUCAAAGUCUAAGAGGGAUUCUUGGCUUGUGAGAGUGUAAAGCUUCAAGGAAACAAGGUGGAGAAACAUCCAAGGGAAAGGGAGUUUUGCAAGGGUGAAGGUAUUGAAGCAAAGAGGAAAACUAUGUGUAAUGGUUAUGUAGUUUGUAUUUUUGUGUUGUAUUAUUUUGUUAAACUUGGAUUGUAUGUAAAUGUGGUUAAAAG